rnacentral:rRNA from 1 species
UGGCGGCGUGCCUAAUACAUGCAAGUCGAACGGUCUUUCUAUGGAAGCUUGCUCCACUGAGAAGAUAGUGGCGAACGGGUGAGUAACACGUGGGUAACCUGCCCAUAAGAGGGGGAUAACAUCCGGAAACGGGUGCUAAUACCGCAUAGUUUUCUUGAUCGCAUGAUUGAGAAAGGAAAGACGGCCUUUGUGCUGUCGCUUAUGGAUGGACCCGCGGCGUAUUAGUUAGUUGGUGAGGUAACGGCUCACCAAGACGAUGAUACGUAGCCGACCUGAGAGGGUGAUCGGCCACAUUGGGACUGAGACACGGCCCAAACUCCUACGGGAGGCAGCAGUAGGGAAUCUUCCGCAAUGGACGAAAGUCUGACGGAGCAACGCCGCGUGAGUGAAAGAAGGUUUUCGGAUCGUAAAACUCUGUUGUCAGAGAAGAACAAGUUGGAGAGUAACUGCUCCAGCCUUGACGGUAUCUGACCAGAAAGCCACGGCUAACUACGUGCCAGCCGCCGC